rnacentral:rRNA from 1 species
CCUACGGGAGGCAGCAGUGAGGAAUAUUGGUCAAUGGCCGGAAGGCUGAACCAGCCAUGCCGCGUGAAGGUCAGUGCCCUAUGGGCGUUAAACUUCUUUUGUGCGGGAGCAAUAAUGGUCACGUGUGGCCAGACGAGAGUACCGUACGAAUAAGCAUCGGCUAACUCCGUGCCAGCAGCCGCGGUAAUACGGGGGAUGCAAGCGGUAUCCGGAUUUAGUGGGGUUAAAGGGUGCGUAGGCUGGGAGGUAAGUCAGCGGUGAAAUGCCCCCGCUCAACGGGGUGAAGUGCCAUUGAUACUGCCUUGCUGGAGUGCGGAUGCCGUAGGCUGACUGUGUGGUGUAGCGGUGAAAUGCAUAGAUAUCACACAGAACACCGAUUGCGAAGGCAUCUCACGAAUCCGCGAUUGACGCUGAUGCACGAAAGCGUGGGUAUCAAACAGGAUUAGAUACCCGUGUAGUC